AGUGGUUAAGAGCUCGGCUGCUAACCAAGAGGUCGGCAGUUCGAAUCUGCCAACCACUC
rnacentral:tRNA from 1 species